GGUGAGUCAUAAAAGUCAGAUUCAGAGGCAGGCUGGCCAAAUCUGACAUCCACUGGUAAUGAGUGGAGCGUUUCUCUUGAACCUAGAGGGAUGUUGUUUAAAACUGUCUUAAGUAUGGUGCAGAUUAUUAAUAUUACCGGUUGAACUUAAACACAUGUGGUUAGUUUAUUGUGUUUAUUUAGUUUGGCUUGUGCAGCCGAAACAGAGAACAGUAAUCCGUGGAGCAUUCAAACCCUGUAAGUAGACCCUUGAUCAUGCACAAGCGCAGACAGACAACUGCACACAUGUAACAAGGUUGCGGAUUUAUGCGCACGUUACACAAGCUCUCGUCGCUGUGUGCAUGCAGAAUCACAAAUGCACCCACCAAAACACACGACACCUAUUCCACAAUUCAUUUGUCAUAUCAUUAUGCAAAUGCUGCACACUGAGCAAAUCUCAAACCUCUCAAAGCCGCAGUGGGAAAACUGGAGAAUAGUGAUGAGACGUAUCCCUGUGCUUCUGACCUUCUUUUUUUUUUUUUUUUUAACUGUUAACAUUUUAUUUGCUUAAUGUCAAUAUGUCAAAAGUAUGCAUGUAACACCUUUAAUACUUGUUUUUUAAUAAGAAAAACAAGGUGCUACACUGAGUUGCACAGCAGCCCUCAUUUGCAAUAAAGGCACAUUUCUAAUAUCAGAGCCUACGUUCUGAGCAAGUGACCAAGUUGAGGUGUGAUCUGUUAUUUAGACAGGUUGGAUGCACUUCCUCACAGCCUGAAAUUUCCCCCGGGGGCUCUCUUCCAUUUCUCACUGUCAUGGAUUUGAAUCUUUUUACCACUGAACUCUUACAAUUACUGAACAUUCAUCACCUGCCUACCUUCUUAGCUACCUAGAUACUGUAUGGAGACCAGAGAUAUGGGGCAGACUGGUGCAGUCGGGAAUACCAAAUAAGACUGCUGUAACACAGUAAGGAAUUCUAAAAUCCUAAGAUCACAGGAACAUGUUUAUUUUAUUAGUACCAGCAGUGUUACUUGGUUACAUGCUUUUAUUUAACUAACAAAAAGCUAAACUGAGUGAGGACACUUCAUGUUAAUGAGCUAGCAACAGGUCGCCACACACCAAACAUUACCCCCCUUUUAUUGUCUAUUUUACUAUAAACAGGACUAGUUUACAAAAUCAGUCUUAUGCUAUUUAAAACACACUUAACUUUCAACCAGUUCUCU
ensembl:lncRNA